UAUACCCAUAAUCCCAAGAGACAUCUAAUAUCAUGAGGAUUUAAGAAACGCAUGGAGAAUAUGAAAGGAAAUAAGAGUCCAAUGUAAAAUGGACUCUCCAUUUUCAAUGCCAAAAUCAAGGGACGUCCCACAUUUAUUUUUUGCAUGGAGUUUCUUCCAAAAGAAGGUCUCUAUCUCCUCUUCCACACCCACAUUAUCCCAAGGCAUCAUCACAUGGCGC
rnacentral:lncRNA from 1 species